rnacentral:rRNA from 1 species
UGGGGAAUAUUGGACAAUGGGGGGAACCCUGAUCCAGCCAUGCCGCGUGUGUGAAGAAGGCCUUAUGGUUGUAAAGCACUUUAAGCGAGGAGGAGGGUACUGGUAUUAAUACUACCAGCUACUGGACGUUACUCGCAGAAUAAGCACCGGCUAACUCUGUGCCAGCAGCCGCGGUAAUACAGAGGGUGCGAGCGUUAAUCGGAUUUACUGGGCGUAAAGCCUGCGUAGGCGGCUAAUUGAGUCGGAUGUGAAAUCCCCGAGCUUAACUUGGGAAUUGCAUUCGAUACUGGUUAGCUAGAGUGUGGGAGAGGAUGGUAGAAUUCCAGGUGUAGCGGUGAAAUGCGUAGAGAUCUGGAGGAAUACCGAUGGCGAAGGCAGCCAUCUGGCCUAACACUGACGCUGAGGUACGAAAGCAUGGGGAGCAAACAGG